rnacentral:rRNA from 1 species
AGAAUCAACGCUGGCGGCGUGCCCAACACAUGCAAGUCGAGCGCGAAUAGGGGGUAACUCCCUUAGUAGAGCGGCGAACGGGUGAGUAACGCGUGGGUAAUCUACCUUCGAGUGGGGAAUAACAGCGGGAAACUGCUGCUAAUACCGCAUGACAUCGUCGGGUCGAUGGAUCUGACGAUCAAAGCCGGGGACCGCAAGGCCUGGCGCUUGAAGAGGAGCCCGCGUCCGAUUAGCUAGUUGGCGGGGUAACGGCCCACCAAGGCGACGAUCGGUA